AACGACUCUCGGCAACGGAUAUCUCGGCUCUCGCAUCGAUGAAGAACGUAGCGAAAUGCGAUACUUGGUGUGAAUUGCAGAAUCCCGUGAACCAUCGAGUUUUUGAACGCAAGUUGCGCCCCAAGCCUUUUGGCCGAGGGCACGUCUGCCUGGGUGUCACA
rnacentral:rRNA from 4 species